rnacentral:piRNA from 1 species
UAGCACGAUGAAGAUCAAGAUUGUUGCU